GCCCGGUUGGAGGAACUGGUCAGACUCGCGGCACUCAAAAUGCCGUGCCUUAGGGCAUGUGGGUUCGAAUCCCACACCGGGCA
rnacentral:tRNA from 3 species